ACAUAUACCUCCAGGAGCCAUGCUGAUGAGUGGGGAGCUAAUCCCUUCUUCAGAACACAGCUCAUUUUCAAGUGGCUGCUGCUGUUUUUCCCCCACCCCUCCAGUGCGACAGCCUCAGAGCUGGUGGAAAGGCAGAGCGCAGGCAGCUGGAUAAAUUUGUAGACGUGGAAUUUCUGGAUCAAAUGGUGCUCGGAGAAUUAAAGCUGUCUGGACUCAGUUCCUGGAGUUUUCUAGAAUGGUAUAAGAAGGAAAUGUAAGAGCUGUGAGAGGAGCAGAAAUAAAUAACGCUCGCCAGCCUGUUGCUGGCAGUAGUCUGAUCUAGGGAUUUAAAGGAGGUAGACUGCAACCGUCUCUUGUAGGAGGAGAUUGGAUGAUUGAGAGAGCCCUUGGAAGAGGGGAAGAGGGCUGCAUGCCCAGUGCAUAUUUGCCAUCUAGUGACCAUAGUGACCGGUGCUAUUUGUGCUUCUCAUCCCAGCCAGGCAGACUUGACCUUCACUCCUGACUUCCGCGAUCCCUUCACAACUGCAAGUCAUUUUCCUACAAAACUGGAGUUUGCCUACUCUGCGCCUUUGAGAGUUUGGGAACAGCAUGCAAGUUCACGUCGCCAUCACGUUAUCCUGCCGACUGUCUCAUGUGACGAGACCGACACCCGGGUCGCUUGCUUCUGCCCUUGUUCUUCUGCCUGUUGUCCCCUCUGCAGCCAUUGAGCACACACACGUGUUGUCACGCAAAAGCCGUUUUGCUGUUUUUAUUUGUCUUGUGAAUGUUGUCAUUUGCUUCGUGCGUAUCACGAAUUAGUGUCGUGUACUGCUCAGUGAUCUAAAACUGUCACUAAUUAGAAAUUUGCGUUGAGUCUGGGUAGGAAUGGCACCCAAGCAGAAAAGCAAGAGUGCAGAUGCUAGAAGAGCAAAGAGGGCAAGAAAAGUGAUGUUUGCAGCAAACGAAAUGAAAGUUCUCGAAAUGCUCAAUAAUGGUGAAACCAAGACCUCUCUAGGGCCCUUUUUUUCCUUUUUUUGGCAUUAAUAAAUCUAUGAUUUGCACAAUAAAAAUAAGAUGCUAUUAGGGCCAAUCAAUCGAGGAGCACACUAGAAUCAUCAAGAACAUCAUACAUAACGUGAAAUGCCAACACAGAGACCAUGGAAAAGAUGUGCACGUGUGGCUUCUAACCCAGAGAGAGCUGCAUAGGCCUCCUCCUGUAUGCGUAAUCUGCCAGCGAGCAUCACAAAAACGCAAGUUUCAAUUUUCAUCUGGACAAAAGGUUACAACAUUCACUGUGAGUAAAGGGUGGUUGGCUAGGUUUAAGAAAUGCUGUGGUCUGUCUGAAAAGAAAUGGUCGGCAGAGGAAGCAGAUCGUGAGGCUGCUGCUGGCUACCCUGAAUACCUGAGGGAACGGAUUGAGGGAAAUGGCUGUUUUUUCAGUGCUGACGAAAUGGCCCUGUUCAGGAAGUACAUGCCUACUUGCACACCUUUUGCAGAGGAUGAGAAAAAGACCAGAGGCUUCAAGCCUGGAAAGGACAAGCUCAAAGUUCUGUUUCGUUCCAACGGUUCUGGUGAUUGAUUAAACCCACAUUGCUUCACAGAUUGCGAAGUCCUUGCCCUCUUAAAAGAGAAUGCUAGAAACACUUUUCUGUUUACAUGAAGGGAAACCAUAAAGUAGGGAUCACUGAGAAACUCUUUUUGGGCCAGUUUUUGAAGUCUUCAUUCCUGAGGUUAGACAAUAUUUAAACCAAAAAAAACAAAAAACAAAAAACAAAAAACCUUGAAUUCAAAGUUGCUGCUUUUGGACACCUGCUCCUACUGCCAAAAGUGCGAUAGUAAAUGCUGAUCCUUGUGUUCCAGUCACCUCCACCCCCCAGUACAACUCCACUCCUUCAACCCAAGCAUCUGGGAGUGCUGAAAAUUGUUUGUGAGGUACUGUACUUGGCGUAUAUUUGAUUACCUUGCAGAUCGUAUGAGAGAGACGCCAGAACUGACUGUGAAAGUAGCUUGACAAAAUUUCCCCAUUUGUAAUGCUUUAACAAUAGUGGAAGAAUCAAUGCGAAAAAUAACACAGGCAACCCUUAAUGGAGCCUGGCACAAACUUGGGAAUGAGGUUGUAAUGGACUCUGAAAGUUUUCUCCCAGUGGUAGACGAAAUUGAAAAGGUUGUAGCAUCUGCAAAACAUUUGGGUGGUGAAGGAUUUGAAGACAUUGAUUUAAGUGACAUUUUGCUGAAGUGUUAGAUUCUCACCCUCAGAAGAUAGUUGAGAACUUUUUCAGAGAUGUGAUCACAUCAAAAGUUGAUACCACAGGUCAGCAUAGGUUAACAUCCAGAACUCAAAGAAUGUAGGAGCAGCUGUUCCACAAGUCAAAUUGCUGUGAUGAUUCAGAGGAGAGAGAUCUUUCGAUGGAAUAUUUAUUGACCUGAAGGCAAGAUUUAAACGAUUACCCACAACCCUAUAAAGCAGUAAUAAGAAACCUUCAAAUGAAGGCCAGUAAGUCU